CCUACGGGAGGCAGCAGUGAGGAAUAUUGGUCAAUGGGCGUAAGCCUGAACCAGCCAAGUCGCGUGAGGGAUGAAGGUUCUAUGGAUCGUAAACCUCUUUUAUAAGGGAAUAAAGUGCGGGACGUGUCCCGCUUUGUAUGUACCUUAUGAAUAAGGAUCGGCUAACUCCGUGCCAGCAGCCGCGGUAAUACGGAGGAUCCGAGCGUUAUCCGGAUUUAUUGGGUUUAAAGGGUGCGUAGGCGGCAUUUGAAGUCAGCGGUGAAAGUCUGUGGCUCAACCCUUGAAUGGCCGGUGAAACUGGGGGGCUGGAGUGGGUGAGAGGCAGGCGGAAUGCGUGGUGUAGCGGUGAAAUGCAUAGAUAUCACGCAGAACCCCGAUUGCGAAGGCAGCGUGCC
rnacentral:rRNA from 1 species